rnacentral:sRNA from 1 species
GGUACAUCUUCUCUGCUUCAUGGCCCAUCUGAAAUUUGUUGUGAAAAUUGCCCUAGACGAGUCGCUUGUCCCAUCACUAAUGAUGUCCCAACUUCCAAAUGGAUAUCUAAAAUUUAUUGGAGAACCCGUUGUGCCAAUUGAUAUCAUGAAAAAUCUCGUUAAAUGGUUCGCCGACGCGUUCCGUCCACUUAAUGGUGUCGUGUCGGUUGCUUCUAUCGAACAGGAUUCUCUUUUGGAAGGACAUGAAGCUCGUUAUCCUGAAACAAGAAGAUUGACGGCUCUCGUUGAUGCGAAAUGCUUUGAAACUGACUUGGAUAGGGCUACG